GACGAAGGGGUCUAGCGUUGUUCGGAAUUACUGGGCGUAAAGCGCGUGUAGGUGGUUGUCCAAGUUGGAUGUGAAAGCCUUGAGCUCAACUCAAGAAAUGCAUUCAGGACUGGGUGACUAGAGGACCGGAGAGGAUAGUGGAAUUCCCAGUGUAGUGGUGAAAUACGUAGAGAUUGGGAAGAACACCAGUGGCGAAGGCGGCUAUCUGGACGGUUUCUGACACUAAGACUCGAAAGCGUGGGGAGCAAACAGG
rnacentral:rRNA from 1 species